AUUGAACGCUGGCGGCAGGCCUAACACAUGCAAGUCGAGCGGUAGAGAGGAGCUUGCUUCUCUUGAGAGCGGCGGACGGGUGAGUAAUGCCUAGGAAUCUGCCUGGUAGUGGGGGAUAACGUUCGGAAACGGACGCUAAUACCGCAUACGUCCUACGGGAGAAAGUGGGGGAUCUUCGGACCUCACGCUAUCAGAUGAGCCUAGGUCGGAUUAGCUAGUUGGUGAGGUAAAGGCUCACCAAGGCGACGAUCCGUAACUGGUCUGAGAGGAUGAUCAGUCACACUGGAACUGAGACACGGUCCAGACUCCUACGGGAGGCAGCAGUGGGGAAUAUUGGACAAUGGGCGCAAGCCUGAUCCAGCCAUGCCGCGUGUGUGAAGAAGGUCUUCGGAUUGUAAAGCACUUUAAGUUGGGAGGAAGGUCAGUAGCUUAAUACGUUGCUGAUUUGACGUUACCGACAGAAUAAGCACCGGCUAACCCUGUGCCAGCAGCCGCAGUAAAAC
rnacentral:rRNA from 1 species